GGGCAAGUCUUAUACGACCAGCUCCUACUAAACUCCCCCAGGUGUGGAAGCAAGCAAGGGUAAGGUGGUUGUAGCGGUGCGAUAUAAGUAGCUUGCCCUUU
rnacentral:SRP_RNA from 1 species